rnacentral:rRNA from 1 species
UCCGUAGGUUGAUAAUUAAGUCAGAGGUGAAAUCCUGCCGCUCAACGGUAGAAUUGCCUUUGAUACUGGUUAUCUUGAGUUAUUAUGAAGUAGUUAGAAUAUCUAGUGUAGCGGUGAAAUGCAUAGAUAUUACAUAGAAUACCAAUUGCGAAGGCAGAUUACUAAUAAUGAACUGACACUGAUGGACGAAAGCGGUGGGGAGCGAACA